UCCAGGUGUGUAAAAUACACCUGACACCAAGGGCCGGGCAAUACCGGUGCCAACCGCCGCGGUAUCACCGGCGGCCCGAGUGGUGAUCUUUAUUAUUGGGUCUAAAGGGUCCGUACCCGGUUUGGUCAUUUCCUCCGGGAAAUCUGACGGCUCAACCAUUAGGUUUUCCGGGGAUACUGCCAGGCUUGGAACCGGGAGAGGUAAGAGGUACUACAGGGGUAGGAGUGAAAUCUUGUAAUCCCUGUGAGACCACCUGUGGCAAAGGCGUCUUACCAUAACGGGUUCUACGGUGAGGGACGAAAGCUGGGGGCACGAACCGGAUUAGAUACCCGGGUAGUCCCAGCCGUAAACGAUGCUCGCUAGGUGUCAGGCAUGGCUCGACCGUGUCUGGUGCCGCAGGGAAGCCGUGAAGCGAGCCACUUGGGAAGUACGGCCGCAAGGCUGAAACUUAAAGGAAUUGGCGGGGGAGCAC
rnacentral:rRNA from 1 species